AUGCACGCUGGCGGCGUGCCUCAUACCUGCAAGUCGAGCGAACGGACGAGAAGCUUGCUUCUCUGAUGUUAGCGGCGGACGGGUGAGUAACACGUGGAUAACCUACCUAUAAGACUGGGAUAACUUCGGGAAACCGGAGCUAAUACCGGAUAAUAUUUUGAACCGCAUGGUUCAAAAGUGAAAGACGGUCUUGCUGUCACUUAUAGAUGGAUCCGCGCUGCAUUAGCUAGUUGGUAAGGUAACGGCUUACCAAGGCAACGAUGCAUAGCCGACCUGAGAGGGUGAUCGGCCACACUGGAACUGAGACACGGUCCAGACUCCUACGGGAGGCAGCAGUAGGUAAUCUUCCGCAAUGGGCGAAAGCCUGACGGAGCAACGCCGCGUGAGUGAUGAAGGUCUUCGGAUCGUAAAACUCUGUUAUUAGGGAAGAACAUAUGUGUAAGUAACUGUGCACAUCUUGACGGUACCUAAUCAGAAAGCCACGGCUAACUACGUG
rnacentral:rRNA from 1 species